rnacentral:rRNA from 1 species
UACGGGGGGGGCAAGCGUUGUUCGGAAUUACUGGGCGUAAAGGCUCGUAGGCGGCCAACUAAGUCGGAUGUGAAAUCCCCAGGCUUAACCUGGGAACUGCAUCCGAUACUGGAUGGCUUGAAUCCGGGAGAGGGAUGCAGAAUUCCAGGUGUAGCGGUGAAAUGCGUAGAUAUCUGGAGGAAUACCGGUGGCGAAGGCGGCAUCCUGGACCGGCAUUGACGCUGAUGAGCGAAAGCUAGGGGAGCAAACGG